CAGUUACGUCAAGACGCGGCGAUAUUAGCACCACGCUUUUCUUCCCGACUGAAAGUGCUUUACAACCCGCAGGCCUUCUUCACACACGCGGCAUUGCUGGAUCAGGCUUUCGCCCAUUGUCCAAUAUUCCCUA
rnacentral:rRNA from 1 species